rnacentral:rRNA from 1 species
GGAUCAGUGGCGAACGGGUGAGUAACACGUGAGCAACCUGCCCCUGACUCUGGGAUAAGCGCUGGAAACGGCGUCUAAUACUGGAUACGAGACGUGAUCGCAUGGUCAACGUUUGGAAAGAUUUUUCGGUUGGGGAUGGGCUCGCGGCCUAUCAGCUUGUUGGUGAGGUAAUGGCUCACCAAGGCAACGACGGGUAGCUGGUCUGAGAGGAUGGUCAGCCACACUGGGACUGAGACACGGCCCAGACUCC